ACGCCUACGGGAGGCAGCAGUGAGGAAUAUUGGUCAAUGGGCGGAAGCCUGAACCAGCCAAGUCGCGUGAGGGAAUAAGGCCCUACGGGUCGUAAACCUCUUUUGCCGGGGAGCAAGGGCGGGGACGUGUCCCGGCCCGGAGAGUACCCGGAGAAAAAGCAUCGGCUAACUCCGUGCCAGCAGCCGCGGUAAUACGGAGGAUGCGAGCGUUAUCCGGAUUUAUUGGGUUUAAAGGGUGCGCAGGCGGGCCUUUAAGCCGGCGGUGAAAACGCGGGGCGCCACCCCGCCCAGC
rnacentral:rRNA from 1 species